GUGGCUGUGGUCAACGUGUGCUCAAUGCCAUCCACCGUAAUCUACAGACAUCCCCCGUGUUCCCAGGCUGUCUGCUCGGCUGCCCAAUGCAGGGCACCAAGGUUGUAGACUGCGCAGCCCUCCUGGAGGCCGAUGGAAGCUCUCUGGGUCGACAGAUUACAGCUUCUGCGACAGCUGGAUCCUCCUACUCCCUUCAUCUCCCUGGGGGGCGCCCACUACCCAGGGAGAGGAUGCCUGGAAAUAACAGCUGGGGUGCACAGCGGCCAUAAGAGCUGUCUCCAUCCUUCCAGACCUCUAGACCAUGCUGCUCCGGAGUGAGGAUUGUCCCCUGGGAUCUGAGAUGCAGUUUGUCCGAUGAUGGCUGGGAGUGUGUGAAGGUCCAUGCCCAGUGCCACCAGAGACAGUACACUGCAGGGUGCCAUGCCGUGCUUUUAGUCGGCCAGCACAGCAGAUCAGGCCCUGUCUCCAGAGACCGCCAAUCUCUUCUGGUGAAUGUGACCCUUGUUCCGUAUGAAGGCCACUGUGGCUGCUCAGGUGGUCAUGGCAGGUAAGUGAUUUGGCCCUGUGUUCAGAGGCCUAGUCAAGGUGUCAGUGUUUGAGGGAGCUGAAAGCGGACUGUGUCUUGUCUGAAGCUUCAGCCCCUGAGCACCUGGAGUUGCAUAGUUUCCCUGCUGCUUUGGUGGCAGUGCAGUGAGAAAGGGGGUGGUGUGUGGAUCCUCCCAUUCAGACCCCAAUUCCCUUGGAUCAUACAUGACACCUCCAGAUCCCUGCUAGGAGAGAACAUGGGGCUUUUCCAGUGUUUGUGAGUUGGAAGGAGAAGGGGAUGGAUGUAGGCAUUGGAGACACCUGUAUAUGCCACUGGCCUCUGACCUUUUUCUUCAUCAUUGUGCUAGGUAGCAGUGAUUUGUUAGCAGUGUAGAGCUGGGCAGUAGGAGAAAGGGUUAAGGGUCAUGUGGAGCAUCUGUACUGGCUUCCCGAGGCACCCUCCCUUGGCUUUGAAGCAUCCCUUUCCUGGUGGCAGAAAUGCACGCACACCUGUGCCUUUCUUCUGCCCGGGGAACCCAUGUCUUAGCUGUGAUGUUCUGGUGCUGGUCACGCAAACACUGACUGCCCGGUGUGACUAGCAGCCCAGCCCCACCGCAAGAAAGCUGGGGCUCAGCCUCGAGCCCCCACCCAGCUAACAGCCAAUAGCCAGCGAGUCCCAGAUUCCACUAGAGGCUUUCUUAACUAUUUUGAACCUCCAUUUCCUGGCGUGGAAAACCUAAAGCUAUGAUAAAGAUUUUUAUGGCCGUGAGCUCAUAGAUGGACUCUCUCCUGACAGAUUGACAGAUUGGUAGGGUUCUGUCAAUUGAUGUUAGCUACAGGAUCCAUGUGUUCUCUGUGGCUUGCAUCUGGCCCUGGCACCUGUCUCCUAUUUUCUAGGUUCCCUUUUGUCUGUCUGUCUGUCUUUCUUUCUCUCUUUCUCUCUUUCUCCCCUGCAUUCGAAAGUGAUCUUGGCUGCCUGUGCCCCGGUCAUUGGUAGUGCAGGAAAAGGAUGCUGGAACACAUGUUUGAGUUUGGGGCAUCUGUCCUGACCCCUCCAAAGCCUGGAGCUUUCCUACACUCACGUCUUCCUUUGCAGGCUUAUAGAAGUGGAGUGCUUUCUGGAAGCUACCCAAGUCAGUGCGGUGGGUCCUUGCUGCUUGGUGUCCUGUUUCCAGAAACUUGGGGUGUUUGCUUGCCUGUUGUGAGGUGAUAGGCAGGCACAGAUUUCUAAAGAGCUGCUUCUGAAGCCAUUGUGCCUAGACAGGUUCCAGAAGUUCUCAAAUAGGGGCAGAGGGGAGAUAACGGGAGGGAAACAUGGAACUGGAGUAGCAGAGCUGUGGGUUUGGCGGAGAUGGGAUAGGGUGUGAUAGAGGCCUUAGGUUUGUACUGAGGGAAGGCGCUCCCUGAGACUGAAUGUGCAGCUCACUUCCUAGCCCGCGGAGUCUCUUGUGGUGAAGUGUGUAUUGGCAUCACUUGGAAGCCACCGCUCUUAGUCAUUUGCUGUUCUGCCAAUUGUCUAGCCCCUUGGAGCUUUUUUAAAAAUGCGGUUUGCAGACCAAAAUACAAUCUGGCAUUUUUUUAUUGUGGGUGAAUCUGUGAAUGCAUAUAUGUGUGUAUACCAUGUGUGUACCUGGGGCCCAGGAAGAGUUUAUUGGGAUCUUAGAGUUUCAGAGGGUGAGUCUGUUCAUGACCUGUGUGGUUCAGGCAGGGCCAUGUUAGAGCAGUAGCUGAGAGCUCCCAUCUUGAGAUAGAACCACCAGGCAGAGAGCUAACUGGGAGAGGCAUGGGCCUUUGAAACCUCGAUGCUCUCCCACCCCAACCCAUGAGACCUCCUUUAUCAAGGCCAUACCUCCUAAUUGGUCUCAAACAGUCUACCAACUAGGUACUGAGUAUUCAAAUGUAUGAGCCUAUGGGGGUCGGUCUCAUUGAAACCUACACACCUAUCCAAACUGCUUCUUUGCCAAACUGAAACCAGGAAAACCAAUUUCUUUAUCAGAAGUUACAAUGUAUUCAGUAUAAGGGAAGAAGGACACCCAUUCCCCUGAGAUGGUAGCCAAGACUUCACAGGUGGCCUUCACCUGUGAAGGAUGGGUGCAGAGGAAAAGAAUGGAAGUGGAGGUCUGGGGUUAACAUUUCAGUGGUGGAGCGCUGGUGUGUGCUGAGUUGGGUCCCCAACACGAAGACACUCAGGCUCCAGGAAGAAGCUGUUGCAGUUUUGUAGGCCGCUCAUCAUGGUUGUGUCUUGGUUCCUGGUGAACAUUUUGUUUGACUGUGUAUGAGGUGCUGAAUGUGGCUUGCCUCCGCAGGAAUGUCAGCUGAUCUCUGCGCUCAGCAAGAGGCUAGAACAAGGUCCUUGGAGGUAUGUCUCCAGUGGUCCAGCAAAGGCCACAGGCAUAAGGAGAGGCAGAGGCUUCUUCCCCGCUAGGCCAGCAGGGACAUGCCUCCCCAGCCCUGGCCACCUCACUGCUGUACAUCCUUAUGGUGUUUGUGGACAAGACCAAACUCGAGGUGAAACUGGAGACACACUCAUCAUCAUGAAACAGCUUUUUACUAUGCUUAGUAGUUGGCUCAGGCAUGGGAGACACCAGCAUACAAAGCCUUGAUACCAGCGCCUCAGAGGGCUAUGUUCUAUUCCUGUGUCCGUCUGCUAGUUGCUGGAAUGACUGGUGACUAAGAGCUUUUCUGUUGAAUUUAUUGCCAACUUUCUGGUACCUCCCCAACCACCGCAAUAAACCUUAAAAUACA